CAGCUAACGCAUUAAAUGAUCCGCCUGAGUAGUAUGCUCGCAAGAGUGAAACUUAAAGGAAUUGACGGGGACCCGCACAAGCGGUGGAGCAUGUGGUUUAAUUUGAAGAUACGCGGAGAACCUUACCCACUCUUGACAUCCUUCGCAAUGCUAUAGAGAUAUAGCGGAGGUUAACGGAGUGACAGAUGGUGCAUGGUUGUCGUCAGCUCGUGUCGUGAGAUGUUUGGUCAAGUCCUGCAACGAGCGCAACCCCUAUCUUUAGUUACUAACGAGUCAUGUCGAGGACUCUAGAGAUAC
rnacentral:rRNA from 1 species